UUUCGAUUGAUUCAUUUUCAAC
rnacentral:siRNA from 1 species